UGUGUAUGAGCACAGCUCCUAAGGCUGCAGACUCCCCACUGUGCAGUGAGAUAGUCCACACUGGAGAGCUGAGCAUUAA